CUCAUAGCGUAUAUUUAAGUUGUUGCAGUUAAAAAGCUCGUAGUUGGAUUUCGGGCGCCAGGCGGCCGGUCCGCCGUUUCGGUGUGCACUGGUCGGCUCGGUCUUUCUGCCGGGGACGCGCUCCGUCUUGACUGCCGGACGCGGAGUCGGCGACGUUACUUUGAAAAAAUUAGAGUGUUCAAAGCAGGCUUACGCUCUGAAUACUAUAGCAUGGAAUAACACGAUAGGACUCCGAGCCUAUUUUGUUGGUCUUCGGGACCGGAGUAAUGAUUAAGAGGGACAGUUGGGGGCAUUCGUAUUACGGUGUCAGAGGUGAAAUUCUUGGAUUUCCGUAAGACGAACUUCUGCGAAAGCAUUUGCCAAGGAUGUUUUCAUUAAUCAAGAACGAAAGUUGGGGGCUCGAAGAUGAUCAGAUACCGUCGUAGUCUCAACCAUAAACGAUGCCGACUAGGGAUUGGAGGAUGUUAAUUCGAUGACUUCUCCAGCACCUUAAGAGAAAUCAAAGUUUUUGGGUUCCGGGGGGAGUAUGGUCGCAAGGCUGAAACUUAAAGGAAUUGACGGAAGGGCACCACCAGGCGUGGAGCCUGCGGCUUAAUUUGACUCAACACGGGGAAACUUACCAGGUCCAGACAUAGUAAGGAUUGACAGAUUGAGAGCUCUUUCUUGAUUCUAUGGGUGGUGGUGCAUG
rnacentral:rRNA from 1 species